AUGGUUUGGUCCAUCCGCGUUCCCCUAAAGAUCCGCAUCUUCAUGUGGCAGUGGAUUCGCCGUCGGGUCCCAUCUGGGGUGGAGGUCUGCAAGCGGAAUGGCCCGGGUACUGGUAUCUGCCCGCUCUGUGGUGUUCCUGAAGACUCGAACCACAUCUUCUUCUCCUGCAUCUCCGCCCAGUUCCUCUGGAGCUGCUUUCGCGCGGUGGUCGGUGGAAGUUGGUGCCACACCAAUUUCCCGGACCUAUUUGCUGAACUCCAGCUGUCCCACGUGACGGCUCGCCACAUUAGGUGGCUUGAGGCUGGGGUUCUCGCUUGGACUCUAUGGACCGUUUGCAAUAAGCUUGUGAUUCAGCUUACUCCCCUUCGACGGGCUACUGACGCUCUCUUCAAACUAUCGGGUUUCUUGCAGCUUUGGCGGCCGCUUAGCCGCCCCCCCGGACCGUGA
rnacentral:rRNA from 1 species